GUAAAUAAAAUAGUGGAAGAGACUCACUGAAUCAUGAGAAGAAAUGGAAGCAAAGGUGUAGCCCCACACUGUAGGGGGAUAGUCUGCCAAGAGCCGAAUAGUUUCAUGCUUGUUUUCUUCUUCCAUGGCCAUUUUCAAAAGUGUAAAGAGUAAUCGAUUUUUUUAAGGCAAGUCUCUUGGAAUAUUGGUUAUGCCUGAAGCAAUGCUGCUUAUAAAGAGAUACCCAAAACGAAUAAUUGAGAAAAAGGAUAGCUGUUGAAAACUUUUUAACCUUUCAAACUGAGGAGUCAUUAAUAGAGGACAAAUUUGCAAUCACUUUUGAUGGUCCUCCAUUGGUCGGGAAUGGAUAGAUAAGAAUUUUAAGACUUCGUUUGAGUAAUUAAAGCAUUUAAUUUUAAAUAAAAAAUUUUAAUUUUUAAAUUUAUUACAAUUAUACCGAUAAUAAUUAUCAUGGCUUCAACCUCCAAUAAUAUCAAAUCAUCCAAGGCGUCCUCUUGGCUUCUAUCUCCAAUAAUAAAAUCAAAUUGCAGCUUAUCUUCUUCUUUAACUUUUUUAUAGAGAAAAAUAUAAGAGAUCUAUCCAUGUCAAAAUGUCAGCAACAAUAAUGCUUACUUUAGCCCAUUUAUAUAAUUAUUAUUCAACACUGUACAUCACUGUAUAUCCACACACUAAUUUAUAGUUUUUGCAAAAUAAAAAAUUAUUGAUUAUUUUCGCAAAUAAUUUUUAUAAAUACAUUUUUUUAAAAAUAACGUCUGAAAGAGGAGAAAUUUAUUUAUUUUUAUUAUACUAAGUGAGAUAAAUAUUAAUUUUAUUUAUAUUAAGUAAUAAAAUAGUAAUUUUUAAUAAUUUAGAUUAAAGUUAGUUAGUUAAUUAUAAUUGAAAUAAACUCUUAAAAUUAGGGUAAAAUUAACAAAUAUUGAAAAGAUUUGCAUUUUUUCUAUUAUAAAAUUUUUAGCCAUAUUAUAAAAUUUUCUAUUAUAAAAAUUCUAUUAUAAAAUUUUAAAUUAAUAAAUUAUUUGUUGGACAAAAUAAAUAUAUAAAAAUUUAAAUAUAUAAAUUAAUUAUUUUAAAAUUUAAAAAUUAAAGUGUAAUUUAUUUUAUAAAAUUUUAAUUCACUUAAUAGUUAUUAUAUAAUAAGUUGAAAUAGCCUUUUGGCAAUAAUUUAUCUGUUUAUCUCAUAUUAAUACAAAUAUAAUUAUUAUUUUUCAAAAAACAUGGUAUAAUUAUUUUUUUUUAAAGCAAAACUACUGAUUGUAUUAAUAAAAUUCCAUCAAACAAAGAGGGACAUCAUUUCAAACAGAGAGACGAUUAUGUCUAAUAGAUUCUUUAGCCAAAGUAUAAGCAGUUAAAGUAGCAUUACGACAAACUCAUCUAACAGAAAUAUCAGCAUAAGAUAAUUUGGCAAAAAUACUCAUUUUUCUUUCUCAUCUCUCGAGCAUAAAUCGUUAAAAUCUCCCGAACAAAACCUCGGAAGAGAGCUUCUACAAAAUAAAGCUCGAAUAAGGUUCCAAGACUAAUGUCGUCGUUGUGAUUCCGGAAACCCAUAAUAACUAGUAAACCUCCAUUGGAUAUUACCUUUUGAAACAACCGAAUUAAUAAAAUUUGAAAAAAGUCAACCACAGAAACAGACACAUGACUCUUCCACAUUAAUAAAAGGCAUCCUCCCAAUCCUUAUCUGUUGACUGAGAAGCAACCAUCAAAAUGUAAAAAACUAUGAAAAAAUUCCAUACGAGAACUAAGAGUUUUUGUUUCUAUCAAAAAUAAAAUGUCCGACUUGUAACUAGUAACCAAAUCAUUCAAUGCAUUAACUGUUCUAGGAUUGCCGAGCCCUUGAUAGUUCCAACACAGGACGAUCAUUGCUUUCGGUUAUCUUGACAUUUGACGGGAUGAGCCGCUUCGAUAGUCAAUUGACGUAGAUCCAUAGGGGAAAGGAAAAGAAGAAGUUAGGUUUAAAAAGAGAAAAAGGUGAGAGUAUCGAGUUAUAGAGGGACCACAGAGGGAAACUUGGCAACCAACUCCUUGUUAAAUUUCUUUUCUUUUGUAACCUCUUCCAACUGUAUAAGGAAAUAGCACCUAGUAGUUAAUGAGAUUUGUUUUUUCUUAAAUACCGAUGCUUAGUACAUAAUUCUUGAAUAUAAGAUUUGUUUUUUCUUAAAUAUCGAUGCUUAGUACAUAAUUCUUGAAUAUUUAAUUUAAUUCAUCUAUAGAGAAAAUAUAAUAUUUUUUAAUAGAAAGGAAUAUAAUAAAUAUGACACAAACAAAGGUUAUUGUGAUAAUUGCGAUACUGAAGAACACACCAGAUGCUUCAAACUGAUAAGAUAUUAAGAAUGGUUCAAAGGUAGAAACAAGAAUUUAAUUAACAAACAAGGUUCUAAACAGAGGUAUGCAGCCUAUGCCUCAUAGUCAGAGGGACACAAUGUAACAGUCCAAUUCAAACUGACCUAAAUAACUUUUCAAUUCAUUUUUUAUUUGGACCAAAAUGGUUAACCAAGUUAUUUAGUAGUUUUUACUAGCUAAUUAUAAAUUCUCAUAAUUCGCUUUUUUCAAGUGAUGUGGAAUGCUACAAUCUCCCCCACUCGAGUUUGCCAUUCUCGUGGCAACUCUAUUAUGCUCAAUUAAGUACAAUUAUUAAGUUAGAAUCGGACCCUCGUGUAUUGUAGUUCGAUAGUGUUUCUAGUGGAUCCACUUCAUCUCGUAUGGGUAGCCCAUACCUUGCAAACCCACUAGUUUCGCACAAUUUUUUGAUCCAGAGUGAUUUUGAUAUCAAUUGUAACAAUAUGAUCCAAACUAAUUCAAAUAACUUUUGGACCUAUUUUUCACUUGGAAUAAAAUAGUUAAUUCAAGUUAUUUAAUAGUUUUUGCUAGCUAAUUAUAAGUUAUCAUAAUUCGCUUUUCUCAAGCGAUAUGGAAAGCUAUACACAAUCCAAAAUUUCUCUCAAAAACACUACUAGAAGAUAAUAUUGGGUCAACUACUAAUGGAUUAAACAAGUUUGAUGAAGUAAAUGAAAAACUUGAGUCAUUUUAACAAGAGAUGAAUAAGCUGAUAAAAGGUAAAGUUAUUGCUAUCGUAAACACACGGUAAAUACAUACUCGACUCAUGUAUUAUACAGUCCAUUUUUCUGUUCAGAGCGAUGUUAACACAUUUUCUUUAAUCUGUUGUGAUAUGAUAAAAAAGGUGAAGUAUGGAUUAUUGACACUAGUGCAUCAAAUUACAUUAUACCAUAUAAACAUUUCAUGCCAUGUAUCUCUUCUGUUAUCUUACCUAUAAUAGUGCGCUUGCUAAAUGGUUUCAGUACGAGUCUCUAAUACUGCCACUAUUACCUUAUAAAAAGCUUAAAAUUGUUAGAUGUGCUUUUGAUUCUUGAUUUCACUUUAAACCUAUUAUCAGUACCAAAACUCCUCUAAGAUACUUAUUUAACUUUACGACUUUGUUUGACUUAUUGCUUCUUUUAAAAUUAGAGGACUAACUCUAUAAUAGCUGUUGAAAGAAUAGUCAAUGGCUUAUACAUUCUUGAUAAUACUAGUUUUUAUAAUUUGACUAUUCAGUACUUUUUUGAUUCUAUUUGUAAUAUUCUUUAUUCCAGACUCACUAUAAAUACCGAUGUCUUUACUUAUCAUAAUAAAGAGACUAAUUCCUUUACUAAUUCAAUGAUAAAGGUUCCUUUCUCUAUUUUACAUGCUAGAUUAAGUCAUUCUUCAUGACAUAAGAUAUCUUAUAUUCUUGAAUUUUAGAAGCUUGUUGAUAAAGGCUACACUUGCUCUUUAUGUCCUUUGGACAAAUUAGCUAGGUUACCGUUUCAUGACAAUAUUAGUGUCACAUCUCAUCCUUUUAACCUCAUUCAUACCUAUGGGGACCCUUUUCUGUCUCUUCCUUUACAGGUGCUAAAUUUCUUGUGACCAUUGUUGAUGAUAAGACUAAAGUAACCUGAACUUAUAUGAUUAAAUUCAAAGAUCGAACCUAUUUUAUUUUACAAUACUUAAUUGAAUAUGUUGAAACACAAUUUGACAGCAAAAUUGAAGUCAUCAAAAGUGAUAAUGGGGGAGAGUUUGUUAAUGAAAAGUGCCUUCAAUUGUUUGUUUCUAAAGGCACAAUUCACCAAACCAUAUGCCCUUAUACACCACAAUAGAAUGGUGUAGUUGAGAUUAAGCAUAAACAUAUUUUUAAACAUAGCGAGAGCUAUUAAGUUUCAAACCAAAAUUUUAAAGACAUAUUGGUCUGAGUGCAUCUUAGCUGCCACCUACCUUUUUAAUAGGAUACUAGUUAAGAAACUUGGUUGGCUCACUCCUUUUGAAGCCUUAUUUCAUGAGCCUCCUAAGUAUGAUCAUUUGAGAACCAUAGAUUGUCUUGGUUUCAUGAGUCAGUUUUUCCUUUUGCUAAAAAAACUAUCAUGUCAACCCUCUAUUGAGUCUGUUCCCAUUCUUGUUAUCCUUAUUGUUCUUCCAGUGACAAUAAUAGUGUGUACUUAGUUGCAUGUAAUAAUAUUAAUGCUUUUGACACAAGUUUGCCUUCUUCUGUGCAUACUCUACCAUCACCUCCCAUUGCAUAGCUUCCUUCUAUUGAGGCUUAUGAUCAUCCUCCACUCCAAAGAAGGAGCAAUGGGAUACAUCAUAAACCUCAAUGGAUGAAAGAAUUUGUUGAUAAUCACUUCUCCAUAAUACCAUCACAUCACUUAUCAAUUAAUUUUACUUCUUUUCAUCAUACUCAUCUACAUUCUAUAUGUAAAAUUCAUGAAUCUUGAACUUUUCAUCAAGCUUCAACUGAUCCCAAUUCGAUUGAAUCAAGAGUUGUUAGCUCUUGAAAAAAAUGGCACUUGGGUGCUCACAUCCUUACAAAAAGGAAAGAAUCUGUUCUAAGUGGUUCUAUAAGGUUAAAGUUAAACCUAAUGGGGGAUUGAAAGAUUUAAAGCUUAGCUUGUGGCCAAGGGCGAUAAUCAAAUGGAAGGUUUGGACUUUAAGGAGAGAUUAUCUCCUAUGGUAAAAAUUGUUACUGUUAGAAUCUUCAUUUCUUUAGCCACUUCUUAUAAUUGGUCCAUAUUUUAGCUUGAAAUGAAUAAUUCUUUUUUACAUAGUUUUUUAAAAGAAGUGAUAAAGCACAAUUUUAGUACUCAUAUUGCCCUAUUCUCAGCAUUGAUUUGAAUAUUUUCUGAUUAAUUUUGUGUUUCUUGGUGUUCUUUCAUAGAAAAGCAUAUAAGAGGUGGAUUUGAUGAAAAGGGUGAAAAAUUGUUGAACAUGACUUGACCAACGAUUUGGGCAAACUUGCCAGUUGAUCCUGUUUCGCAGCACUAGUAUUUACUCAGAUUCUCUACUGAGCUGAUAAUAUUUCAGUUAAAAUAUUGGAGCAGAGAUUUGUCUAAACCUCUGGGCAAGUCAGCAACCUGUGCCAAGACUCGACGGAGAGCAGAAAAUUGAUUGAAGAUUUGAAAUAAAAGAUCAUAUCUCCUCAUUUAAAAUUGUUGGAUCUCAUGCAAUCUUUCCUCCUUAAGUGCAGCGUGAUACCUUUCAUGAAUCAAGAAAUCUCCUCCCAAAUGACACAAAUUAAAAAGAUCUCCAAUCAAAGCAAUUAAAAAUCUCAUAUUUUUAGGAAUGUUUAGUGUGGAUUUUGCCCGGGUUCAGCCUCUAUAUAAUCCUACUUGAGUGAACAGCCACGGGACAUCUCUUCUUCUUCAGUCGUUUUCUUGUCUUCUCUUUUCUUUUGUGUUUUCUCUUAAGCCAUGUGUGCCUAAACUCUUUAUAUCUAGUUGGAGUUAGGUUGAAAUUUCAGUUUCUUCAAGAAUUGUGAGAUCUAGACAUCAUUGUUCAUCCUUUAUUCUUUGAAUAUUUAUGCAAUUUCAAUUUUUAUUAUCAUUAUUGCUUUAUUAUUUGAUUAAUAUGGCCCAUUAUUUAUAUUUUCAAAGUGAUAUAUCGUUAGUUUGGAUACUUGAAAUCCGUAAUUACUUGAGGUAUUCAACAACAAGUAACAAUUAAGGAAUUGCAUGAUCUAGCUUAAACUCACCAUGUGGUUUUGAAGCUCUCUAAUUCUUAAGGCGGUUGAUAAAUCAAAUCUAAUAGACGUUCUUUGGAUUGUUUGUUGUCUAUGGUUAAUUAGCGAACAUUUUCUAAUUAAUUUACACCUAAAGGGAGAUUAGUUAUGAGGAGUGUCUUUGAUGAGAUUAGCUAAAAAUGAGAAUUAGAGAAAUUGAAAUUGAAUGAAUAUUUUAUUGAUUAGAGAUUUGUCUAUAUAUACACAUUUGGAGAAACUGUAAUCUAACUAACUGAGUUCUCUCUGGGAUGUUCUGGAACCUUCUGGUAUCUCCUGGAGUGUAUUACAUGAAAUGACGUCAUUUUGAUUCUUUUCUUUACGACGUCGUUUUGCUUCUGGGAUUUGGACCCAUCAUUUACUCUCUUGCAUUGCGAAGUCGUUUGGUGACUCUAGUAUAUAAUAUCUCUUCAGCCCCCCUGCAAGAUGGAGAUGCCCUAGUUUUUGGUAAACCCAUCUUGGACAGGAGAGUGUGAAACUGCGCCGCUUCCAGGGAUUUGGUGAACAGAUCUGCGAUUUGUUGUCGAGAUGGUACAUGCACCGUUGAGAUGAAGGCUCUAGAGAGUUGUUCGCGGACGAUGUGGCAAUCGAUGUCCAGAUGCUUCGUUCGUUCGUGGAAGACAAGGUUGGCCGCGAUGUGUUGGGCUCCUUGGUUGUCACAGUGAAGAGGAAUGGGGAGUUGUGGUUUUGCGUGGAACUCUUUCAUCAGAUAAGUUAUCCACUUAAGCUCGCACACCAUGAGAGCCAUGCUUCUGUACUCAGCUUCUGCUGAGGAUCUACUAACUGUGUUCUGUUUUUUUGUUUUCCAGGAUAUCAGGGAUGGACCAAGAAAGAUGCAGUAGCCAGUAAGUGAUUUUCGAGUCAUUGGACAGGAGGCCCAGUUAGCAUCAGAGAAAGCUCGAAUCUUGAGGUCAUUCUGAACUGGGAAGAACAACCAUCGUGUUGGACAAAUUUUCAAGUAGCGAAGCACAUGAAGUGCUGCAUUCCAGUGUGGCUAAGAUGCUGCGUCGCGUAGGAAAUAUCUGGUCUUGUGACUCUGAGGUAAAGUAAUUUUCCUAUUAGCUUCAGAUAUUUGUCUGGGUCAGUCAAAAUUGGUCCUGUUGUGUUGUCAAGUUUGAGUCCUUGUGGUAGAGGAGAGUCAGAGAUUUUGGCUUGCAUGCAUCCUGUUUCUUGAAGGAUAUCUAAUAUGUAUUUCUUUUGGUGAAGGAAAAGACCAGUCUCAGAGCGUGCAACUUGUAAGCCCAGAAAGUACUUGACAUAACCAGAUCCUUGAUUCUGAAUAGUUUAUCAAGGUGAGAUUUGAUUUCUGCUAUAUCCUAUUCUGAUUGACCUGCUAUGAGAAUGUCAUCAACGUAAACAAACAAAGUUAAAAAUCUGCGUUUCUUUAUUUUUGUGAACAGACAGUGAUCAAAAGGAGAUUGGUUAAAACCGAAUUGGGUUAAGCUUUGGGUAAGCUCUUUGUUCCACAUUCUUCUUGCCUGCUUUAAUCCGUAGAUGUUUUUGAUAAGUUUGCAUACUUGUCCUGGUUGAGCUUUACCAUAGCCUUCCAGGGGUAGCAUAUAUAGGUCUUCUUCUACAUGACCAUGUAGGUAUGCAUUGUUAACAUCGAGUUGGUGUAUAGGCCAGUUCUUGGCAGUAGCUAUUGCCAUGAACAUUCUCACAGUAACCAAUUUGGCUACUGGAGAGAAAUUGUCAGUGUAGUCAACUCCAAGUAGUUGAUUGAAUCCCUUCGUCACCAACCUGGCCUUGAACCUAUCAACAGAGCCAUCUGGCUUGUAUUUGAUUCUAAAAACCCAUUUGGAGGCAAUGGCUCUUUUGCCUUUGGGUAGAGUCGUUAGGUACCAAGUGUUAUUUGUGUCUAGGGCAUUUAGUUCAUCUUGCAUGGCUUGCACCCAGUUGCUGUCUCCUUAGCUUGUAAAUAAGACUUAGGUUCAUAGGUCAUAGAGACAUUUGCCACAAAACUCAAGUAAUAAGGGGUGAAGGUGGGUUCAGAAGUAAAACAAGGAUAGGUGUUGGAAGAAUUACCUGUGGUAGUGUUGGAGAACACACUAGGAUUAACAGGAUAUAUAGAGGUUGCCACAAAAUCAUUUAGCCAUCUUGGUCUUGUUGAGAGCCUUGUGCUUCUUCUUGUUUGUGCUGAAAUCCCUUCUUCUAAAUGUUCUGGGGCUGAUUCAGAAGUAACAGGUGCUUCUCCUUCUUCUUCAGUUGUAAAUGUGUCAAUAUAUGGUUCAGUCUCUUCUGUUGAUCUUAAAGAUUCAUGGGGAGGGCUAGGAUCAGCAUUCAGUGGUAUUGAGGUUGUAGGGAUUGAUUCAGGUUCAAGUACUGUGUUUGGUAAUACUAUUUUGUGGGGGUUAUAAGAGUCUUGUUGGGAUCUGAAUGGGAAUAUGUCUUCAUGGAAGAUGAUAUCUCUGGAAAUUAUGGUCUUGUUUAGGUUUAGGACAUAGAUUUUAUAGGCGGUCAUUCCUGGGACAUAUCUAAUGAAUACUCCCUUAAAGGCUCUUUCCACAAAUUUUUUUUUUGUGGGGUAAGGUAUUGGUUGCAAAGCAUAGGCAACCAAAGGUUUUGAGUGGAUCAAGAUUGGGGUCUUCCUUAUGUAAGCGAGCAUAAGGUGUCUCCCAAUUCAAUACUGAGCUUGGUAAUCUGUUGAUAGUAUAGGUGGCUGUGAGUAUGGAUUCUCCCCAGAAUCUUUUUGGUAAAUUUGACUGAAACAUUAGGGCUCUUGCCACUUGUAGUAAGUGCUUGUGCUUUCUUUCAACUACUCCGUUCUGUUGUGGAGUGUAUGGACAUGAUUUCUGGUGAAUAAUGCCUUUUUCCUUUAGCCACUUACUGCAAUCUUGAUUCACAAACUCUGUCCCAUUAUCUGAUCUCAAGUUCUUUACUGACUUGUGAAAUUGGUUGUUAAUCAUGGUAAUGAACUCUUUUAACACAACAAACAUAGAUUGUUUGUGCUGUAGUAAAUAUGUCCAUGUUGCUCUAGUGUAAUCAUCAACUAUGGUUAAUACAUAUCUUGCAUUUGAGACUGAAACCACUGAAUAUGGGCCCCAAAGAUCCACAUGAAUUAGCUCAAAUGGUGUUGUGAAAGUAAUCUUGCUUUUAUUGAAACUCAAUUGUUGUUGUUUUGUAAUGGGACAAAUGGUGCACACAUGAGAAUCACAGUCGCUAGCUUUUAUUACAUUUAGGUGCAAUAAUUUGUUUUUUGAUGCAUGACCUAAUCUUCUGUGCCAUAUUUCAUAUCUGCCUUGAAGUUGUUGAGAUACCAGUGCUGUGCCAAUUGUCUUUAAUAUGCUUUCUUGAUGGCUAAAUGAUUCUUUAUUUAGUAUAUAUAAUCCUUGGUGCAUUCUCCCAACAACUAGUAGGUGUUUAGUCACUAGGUUCUAUAAGAUACACUGGUUAUGAAGGAAUUGCACAGAUAUUUUGUUCAAUUGUGUGAUCUGGCUGACAGACAGUAAAUUGUAUUUAAAAGUAGGCACAUAUAGCACAUCUAACAAUUGCAUAUUCUGUUUUAAAGAUAAUGUUCCAAUUUUAGUGAUGCUUUUCAUGCUGCCAUCGGGUAGGGUCACAACACUUGGUUUAGUUAGAAUUCUGUGGUUUGAAAAAAGGGAUAGGUCAUUACACAUGUGAGCUGUGGCAUUUGUGUCUAUAAUCCAUUCUCCUAUAGUUCUAAUUUUAUUGGCCUUAGAGUAGCAAGAGGAUGUCAUACCUGCAAAUCCAGUGUAAUUCACACAUUUGGCAUCAUUGCUGCCAGUAGUACCUUGGCCAUGACUCUUCAUGUACUUCACCAUUUCUUAUAUUAGUGACUCCAUGUUCCAAUUAGCUUUGCCUUGAAUGUAGCUGUCAUCACAUUUUAGAGGUGUUUUGUAAUACCCGGCUAGAGUCCGACAUCGGAAUUCUACUUUUCGGUGGAGUCCAGGAUGCCGAAAGUCUCUAGAAGGGUUAGAGUUAUGUUUUUCUCCCAUGUUUUGAUAUUUGCAUAAGUUUUAACGCAUAAGGAAAUGAGUUUUUGAGUGAAAUGAACCAAGGCAAAAAAGCCAGGUUCGGCCGCCGAACAUGCAUGGCUUUCGGUUUCACGUGUAGCUGCCGAAGGUGGUCUGGCCAGUCACCUAUAAAAGGCCCUCAGUCGGUUGAAACGAUAAGAUCACCGUUUCUUUGACCUGCUGAGGUGAGACCCUGUCCUUUUGAGAGUUUUCUUCAUGUUUUCAUUAAAUCAUGCAAAGAUUUGAUUGAUUUUUAUGUUUAUUUGAAGGUUUUGAGUUAGAAACUUGAAUUUUGAAGUUUGGAGAGUUUGAAGGAGAGUUGCUCCAAAACUUCACAUUAGGAUCAUUCAUCUUCUUGGUUUCAAGAGGUAAGUGAAGAUCCUGAGCCUGUUUUUAUGUUUUCUGAAGGUUUUAUGAGGUUAUGGGAGAGAGUUGCAUGAAUAGGGUUAGUUUUGAGGUUUUGGUGAUUUUUGUGACAGAAGCUUGUAUAUGUGUUGUAUGUUUGUGUUGUUGGGGUUUUAAGGUAGUUUGUGACCCCUUUGAGCAUAUACUUGGGUAUAUGCAAGUUGAGGGAUUGAGGUGUUUGAGAUUGGGAGAUGUUUUGUGCUUUUGGCGAGAGGCAGAGCAAGUUUCUGCCUUGCGGAUGAACUCAGGUUCGGCCGCCGAACCCACAUUCGGCCGCCGAACCCAUGAGGAGGUGGCUUCGGCUGCCUAAGCUUGCCCCCGAGCUUUUGGACUUUCGGAUCUGGAGGGGAGUUCGACCGCCGAAGGUUAGAGACUUUCAUCUCUGGAGUGCCUUUCAGCCCCCGAAACUUGCCCCCGAAAGGGUUCGGCUGCCGAAAGUAGAGCUUCGGCCGCCGAAGGUGCAUGAGUUUCGUCUCUGGAGAGGACUUUCGGCCGCCGAACCUGCCGCCGAAAGUGUCCUGUCCAGCUUUCCUUUGCAUGCUUUGCAUGGAUGUUAGAGUGAGUUUAAGAGGAUUCUUGGGGAGUUUAAUAGAGUUGUUCUUGAGUUAGUUUGGUCCCUCAUUUGAGUUUAUCUGUGCUUACACAGACCAGAGGAACUAGAGAGAGCAGCAGUGAGUACUGCUCCAGAGUGGUCAGAGCCUGCAGAGUUAGUCCAGAUAGCCAGAGGUGAAUGGAACUAAACUUACUGCCUUUAAUUGAGAAAUUAAAUGUUUUUAGCAUAAUUCAUGCAUCAUGAGUAUCUAGUAGGUUGAUUGCAUUAGAAUCCACGAAUAUGCCGCAUUGCAUAGUUAUUUGUUGAUGUGGGUGAAUGCUGAAUGAUCCAAUAGUCUCUGAGAGAAGUCCAGGAGCCUUUGACUACGCCCUAGCAGGUAGAGAGAAGUCCAGGAGCCUUUGACUACGCCCUGGCAGGUAUAUAGUAAAGUCCAGGAGCCUUUGACUACGCCCUGGCAAUGGUAAGUACAGAGGUGUUAUAUACACAUAUACAUAUAUGACAAGAAGACCAGGUGCUCGAUUCUAUGCCCUGGCACGGCAAAGUUACUGGGACUAUGUGGUGACAGGUUUACCCUUGAUGUGGAUUGUUUGUGUUAUGAUGCAUUCCAUAAGAUCAUGUUUGAAUGGUAUGUUUUACUGUUCUACUCACUGGGCUAUAGAGCUCAUCCCACUCCCUUAAUCACAGUCUUGCAGGUUCAGUGUACAGUGUACAGGGGAAGUCCAGCAGAGUUCAGGAAAAGAGAAGAGCUGUGUAAUAGAAUAUAGUGGACAUGUAAUAUUACAAAGAUGUGACAGUUGUAUAUAAAGUUAGAAUUGUGCUUGACUUAGUGAUGUUUGUGUUGUAACUCUUUUGUUAUGUACAUGAUCUGUAUAUGUAUAUAUGUUUUACUGAGUAUGUGAAAAACCUGAGUAUGUGAAAAACCAGGCUUAACAGGUAUGAGUUAACCCACCUAGAGCAAGCUCUAGUCAGGGGUACAGAGUACUGAAUACAGAGUACAGAGUACAGAGUACAGAGAUAGUGCAUGCACAGGUUAAGCCUUGGUACAGAGAAAAGAGUUUUUAUUUUCACAGAAAAUGUAUGAUCAUGUAUGAGAUUUACAGGUACACAGAGAUUAUAGCAGGCUUGCUACGGGUUCUGGCGGCCUUAAGCCGACCUGAAUCCUAGCGCCGGUGACGGUCCAUUUUGGGGUCGUUACAGAUUGGUAUCAGAGCCCUAGGUUCACAUGAUUGGACCUAUAGAGAGAGUGUCGGGCUCAUAGAGGUUAGAAGUGGUCAAGCACAAUAGGAAAUCAUGUCCACUAGGAUAGGGUGUUGAGUCCUAUCUGUUUGAUGCCAUGAGUUAUGCAUAUGCAUUCUUGAUAUGUGAUGUUUAUGUGCUAAAGUGCGAUAUUAUGUGUUGUUUUCCAGAGUUAAGAUGAGAGGAACUCGUCGAUCAGCUCGAUUGACUAGAGUCCCACCAGAUAGUGAGAGACCAGCUGCUCGUCCUCCUGCAUUGCCGAGGGCAAGGUCUCAGAGAUCUAGUAGGGAAGGUAAGGGAGAUGUUUUGUGCUUUUGGCGAGAGGCAGAGCAAGUUUCUACCUUGCGGAUGAACUCAGGUUCGGCCGCCGAAGGUACAUUCGGCCGCCUAACCCAUGAGGAGGUGGCUUCGGUUGCCCAAGCUUGCCCCCGAGCUUUUGGACUUUUGGCUCUGGAGGGGAGUUGGGCCGCCGAAUGUGCCGCCGAAGGUUAGAGACUUUCGUCUCUGGAGUGCCUUUCAGCCCCCGAAACUUGCCCCCGAAAGGGUUUGGCUGCCGAAAGUAGAGCUUCGACCGCCGAAGGUGCAUGAGUUUCGUCUCUGGAGAGGACUUUCGGCCGCCGAACCUGCCGCCGAAAGUGUCCUGUCUAGCUUUCCUUUGCAUGGUUUGCAUGGAUGUUAGAGUGAGUUUAAGGGGAUUCUUGGGGAGUUUAAUAGAGUUGUUCUUGAGUUAGUUUGGUCCCUCAUUUGAGUUUAUCUGUGCUUACACAGACCAGAGGAACCAGAGAGAGCAGCAGUGAGUACUGCUCCAGAGUGGUCAGAGCCUGCAGAGUCAGUCCAGAUAGCCAGAGGUGAGUGGAACUAAACUUACUGCCUUUAAUUGAGAAAUUAAAUGUUUUUAGCAUAAUUCAUGCAUCAUGAGUAUCUAGUAGGUUGAUUGCAUUAGAAUCCACGAAUAUGCCGCAUUGCAUAGUUAUUUGUUGAUGUGGGUGAAUGCUGAAUGAUCCAAUAGUCUCUGAGAGAAGUCCAGGAGCCUUUGACUACGCCCUAGCAGGUAGAGAGAAGUCCAGGAGCCUUUGACUACGCCCUGGCAGGUAUAUAGUAAAGUCCAGGAGCCUUUGACUACGCCUUGGCAAUGGUAAGUACAGAGGUGUUAUAUACACAUAUACAUAUAUGACAAGAAGACCAGGUGCUCGAUUCUACGCCCUGGCACGGCAGAGUUACUGGGACUAUGUGGUGACAGGUUUACCCUUGAUGUGGAUUGUUUGUGUUAUGGUGCAUUCCAUGAGAUCAUGUUUGAAUGGUAUGUUUUACUGUUCUACUCACUGGGCUAUAGAGCUCAUCCCACUCCCUUAAUCCCAGUCUUGCAGGUUCAGUGUACAGUGUACAGGAGAAGUCCAGCAGAGUUCAGGAAAAGAGAAGAGCUGUGUAAUAGAAUGUAGUGGACAUGUAAUAUUACAGAGAUGUGACAGUUGUGUAUAAAGUUAGAAUUGUGCUUGACUUAGUGAUGUUUGUGUUGUAACUCUUUUGUUAUGUACAUGAUCUGUAUAUGUAUAUAUGUUUUACUGAGUAUGUGAAAAACCUGAGUAUGUGAAAAACCAGGCUUAACAGGUAUGAGUUAACCCACCUAGAGCAAGCUCUAGUCAGGGGUACAGAGUACUGAAUACAGAGUACAGAGUACAGAGUACAUAGUACAGAGAUAGUGCAUGCACAUGUUAAGCCUUGGUACAGAGAAAAGAGUUUUUAUUUUCACAGAAAAUGUAUGAUCAUGUAUGAGAUUUACAGGUACACAGAGAUUAUAGCAGGCUUGCUACGGGUUCUGGCGGCCUUAAGCCAACCUGAAUCCUAGCGCCGGUGACGGUCCAUUUUGGGGUCGUUACAUGUUUCAAAUACAUGAGCUGCAACAUUUUCUUUCCCUUUGUUCUUUUUCAGUUUGAGUUCAUUGAACCAAUCUGGAUAUCCAUUGAGUUUGAAGCAGGUUUCCUUUACAUGACCUGUGGCUUUGCAAUAAGAACACGUUCUGUCAUCCCUUUUUUUAAUUGAGUCUUCUAUGUUCUGCCUCUGUUAAUCUCUGAAGUUUUUGUCGUCAUUGCACUGUUCCCAGCUUCCUCACUCUGUGCUUCCUUCUGCUUUUCAAUCCUCAGGAUCAUGGAAUAUGCUUUAUUUACACUAGGCAGUGGCUCCAUGAUAAGAAUAUGAUUCCUUACAUGGUCAUAAGACUCGUUUAGACCCAUCAAGAAUUGCAUUAAUUUGUGUUUGCCCUCUAUAUCAGUGAAUAAUUUUGCUGUGCCAUAAUCACAUACUGGAAUUGGUUCUAAACAUGCAUAUUCAUCGCAUAAUUUUUUUAAUUUCAUGUUAUACGUCAUAAGAUUAUUGUUUUCUUGAUUAGCAUUACUGAUUUCCUUCAUUAAUUGGUACAUCAGGGGGCCAUUACUGUCCCAAAAUCUUUCUUUUAAUUCUUCCCAUAAUUCAUAGGCAUUUAUAGCAUAGAGAAAAGUUUCAGCCAAUUCUUUUGAUAGAGCAUUCAAGAUCCAGGACAUUACCAUGUUAUCUGCCUUCUGCCAUUCCUCGUAGUUUAUAUCAUCUUGAUCUGGCAUUUUGCAUUUGCCGUUUAUGAAUCCUAACUUAUCUUUUGCUUUCAACGCAAUGACCAUUGAUAUGCUCCAUGUUAGGUAGUUAUUGCCGUUUAGAGGAGAACUAACGAGGAUCAUGCUGGGAGAGUCAGAGUUUAGUAGCCUCAUCUUCUUGUCGUCUUUCUUUGCCUUCCCUGGUAUGUUUUCUUCAAUAAUUUAUGCCAUUGCACUCGUUAAUUGAUGUGUAUAGACUGGGAAAUUAAGGGUGGUUUCUUUUCAGAUCUGGAUCUGAGUUUGGUGGGGUAGUUUACACAUGGUAUGCUCUGAUACCAUAAUGAGAUUAGCUAAAAAUGGGAAUUAGAGAAAUUUAAAUUGAAUGAAUAUUUUAUUGAUUGGAGAUUUGUCUAUAUAUACACAUUUGGAGAAACUGUAAUCUAACUAAUUGAGUUCUCUCUGGGAUGUUCUGGAACCUUCUGGUAUAUCCUGGAGUGUAUUACAUGAAACGACGCUAUUUUGAUUCUUUUCUUUACGGCGUCGUUUUGCUUCUGGGAUUUGGACCCAUCAUUUGCUCUCUUGCAUUGCGACGUCGUUUGGUGACUCUGGUCUAUAAUAUCUCUUCAGUCUUUUAUAACUAGAAUUAAUUUAUUGAAAUGAAUAAAGAUAUUUUUGUUAAUUUCCUUAAUUAUACAUAUCAAUAAAUUAGUAUUGCAGAAUUUAUAAAACAAGAAAAUUUACUAAAGAUAUCUAGAUUAAUGAUAAUACAAGCAAAUCUGCCUAUUGUCUUUGGAAAAUUUAAUUCUUGUAACUCUUUGAGUUUAUGGAAAAAAGAAAACUCCACUUCAAUAUUUUAAAAUCUUAGGAUUACUUUUAUUUAAAAUUCUAUUUGUAAUUAUAUUAAAUUAGCUCCAAGAGAAGAAAAGCUAUCUUCAUAAGAUAUUCUAAAUAAUAAAAGACUUAUAUUUAUUGGUGAACAAUAUAGACUUUGAAUAAUAAGAUAUCAGAUUUUUAGAGAAUAAAUUUUCUAAAUAAAAUGAGAUAGAUCAAAACUUUUUUUAUGUGAAUUAAGGACUAAAUUGCUUUCGCUAUAUAAUUUGAAAUGUACUAUUUUUUAAUUCAAAGCAUAUUUAUAAAGAUAUAAAAUUCUUAGCGUCCUUACAACACUAUUCUUUUACAGGAGAAAAGUCUAAAUCACAAAGAGAUAUGAUAAUGAUCAAUACUGUGAAACAAACAUAAGCACAUGUAAUUAAGUUUAAUCCAAAGCCAAUUGCUCGAGCACUAAUGAUGUAAUAUACUGCUUCAUGCUUGAUGCAUCAAUGAAGUAAUCGAUGUGCUUAUCGUAAAUAAACUCUAACGUACGUCCUAAGCUGAGGUAAUACUUGAGUAGAGCUCUCGACACACCACUUGCCUCCAUAUACUCCUCAUUCAUGUUCUUCCAUGCAUUUUCACACAUUUUCUUAAUUUCUUCUGUUGCCUUUUCUUGCGACACACUGUAUUCAUUCACAUAGCAAUCCACACCUGAUGGACCAUCGCCCUUCUUUUCUUCAUCCUUCAAAAAUUAAAUUAUAAUUAUUUUAUGAAUUAAAAUCUUUAUAAUUAGAAAAAAUAAUAAAAAGUUAAAUGAUUAUAUUAAAAAUAUACCUUUCGUUUUGUUAUGUCAUUUAUUAGACGGGAAAGUAACUUGACGGACUUGAUAAUUUUUGGAUUGCUUUCUACCCAUUCAUAUUCCUUAUUUCCUACAAUAUUUUCCAGUCUGAUGAAGGAUAUUGCUGGAAUUGCACCAUGGCCGCUAGUGUAUAGUCCAUUGUGCAUGAACUCGUCGAAAGGUGGUAUAUAACCAUCAUUGAACCAUUGUGCCUCAACAAAGUAUCCCUUCACUAUCUCUUUCAACUAUUUAUAAUAAUUUCAAAAUAAGAAAUUAUUUAAUGAAAUACUUAAAUUUUUUAGCAUCGUCACAAUUGAGAGAUAAAAAUAGAUAGGUGUAGAGAGUAUAAUAUACAAUAAUAUAAAUCCAAGACACAUAAUAUAUUGAUGGGAUUUACAUCACUGGUUUGUAUCUUAGGUUUAUAGUAAACUAUAAUUAAGUCUAAGGAAGAUUUUUCUUACAAAGUUUAAUUACCUUCUCUUUGGCGUAAGAGGUUCGAUAGCCAAAAUUCUCUAUUUCGCCAUUGUUCUCUAUUUCAUCAAAAAAUUUCAAGAUAAAUAUGUAAAGAACUUUCAUAUAAUCUGGCAGCUUAUUAAUUUCACCAAUAUUCCACCUGAAAAGUUGGAAUAAAAUAAAAAUGUUAGAAACUAUACACAAACAAUUUUUAGCCAUUGAAUUGGGUAGUUUAAACUAUUUCCUUAUACGUACAACCUUUCAAUUGCAGCAGUAAAAGUUUGAAGUUCAUCAAUUGUUCCAUAUGCAUCGUAUGUAUCAUCUAUCAAUGUUAACAACUGUAUAUACUUAGCCAACAUCAACCGUGAAAGAGCAUACUGAGGCUCGAAAUGAAUUCCGACUGCCCACAUAUAGCUCUCUGCAAUUCUAUCUCUUAUGUAUGGAAGCUUUUCUACAAGAUUUAAAUCUUUCCACCACCUGUAAUAUAUAAAUUGCCAAAUUAAAAUAUAAUAAUGCAUGAUACUUGUUUAUAUGCAUGUACAUGCUGCAUGGAACAAAUUAAAACAUACCUUGAGAGUGAUGCUAACUCUUGUUUAUAUAAUAGUUGCAGUCGAAUAAAAUCCAGCUUUGCAAAUUUGAGAAGAGAUUCAUCUCGUGACUCUUCUCCUUCAUAAAAGCAUAUGUAUUCCCUCGCCUGUCUUCUAUCUAUGUCAUGGUGGUUUGGCUGCCGCAAAGCUUUUCUUACAUGAUUUGCAACACGAGGGCUUAAUUGUGGAAUUAAGAUUUCCAAUUGUUGCCUUGUAAAGGCAAGAGCUUCAUCUAAAAUGUCUUCUCCAUGUAUACUUAGAAAUGUUGCUUCGUAUAAGCUAAGAAGGCCUUUCACAUCACUGGUGAUAGUUUUCUUGAACCCUCCAUCUUUGUCCUUGAAUUUGUUAAACACAUCUAAUUCAAGAUAACCCUCCACAUCAAUGUUCCUUUUUAAAAUACCUCGGAAUAUAUUUUAGGCUAAUUGCUAUCCUUUUUCAUUUUAAUCUAAAAUUUUAAUUUUUUAUCAAUUGGCUCAACCUUUUCAUUUGGGCAUAAUUUUGAUCAAUUUUUGAAAGUAAAAUUAAAAAUAAGCAACUCAAUAAAGUGAGGAUGGCGUCAAGUCAUCAUACCCCUUAUGUCCUAGGCGACACUGGUGCUCAAUUAUUAAUAGCUUAUGGGAAAAUUAAAGGUUUAGCAUUCACAUUUCACAAUUUAAGAAACAUCAAAUUUAUAUGAAUGGAAUAGGAGCAUUAAAAAUUAGUAUGUGUAAACUUACCGGGAGAUAUUUUGUAUCCAUAUUGCCUCAUAACUCGAAAUAGAAGUGUUAUACUGUAGAAAUCAUGGUUAUUGUUAUCAAGGAGCUUAGGAAGUAAGAUGAAAAUAUGAUUAAGUUGUUCUUCAAUCUCAUUAUCAAAAUGAUACGACACACCAAAACGGCAUAAUAAGUUGAUGAACUCAAUUUUUUGUAUUAACUCUUUUGCAGGUUGAACUAACACAUCCUUCAUCUUUUCUUUGAGCAGUUCCAUCUUUUAGUGUAUGAUUGAAAUUCCUAUGCAUACAUUGGAUACAAAUUGAUUUAAACUCAUAGUGGGAAAUUAACAAGUUUUUAUAUAUUGUAUUGUAAAGAAAAUAGUGGAAGAGACUCGCUGAAUUAUGAGAGGAAAGCGAAGCAAAGCUGUAGCCCCACACUGUAGGGGGAAAGUCUGCCAAUAGCCGAAUAGUUUCAUGCUCGUUUUCUCCUUCAAUGGCCAUUUUUAAAAGUGUAAAAAAGUGAUAAACUAGCUUGUUAAAGCAAGUCUCUUGGAAUAUUGGUUGUGCCUGAUUCCUGAAGCAAAGCAACUUAUAGAGAGAUAAAGUCUUAAGAAAUAGACUAAGUCUAAUCUAAGAAAAAAGUAAGACUU
rnacentral:lncRNA from 1 species